rnacentral:rRNA from 1 species
UACGAAGGUCCGAGCGUUGUUCGGAAUCACUGGGCGUAAAGGGAGCGUAGGCGGCGCGGUAAGUCAGAUGUGAAAUCCCGGGGCUCAACCCCGGAACUGCAUCCGAUACUGCCGUGCUAGAGGAUUGGAGAGGUAGCUGGAAUUCUGGUGUAGCAGUGAAAUGCGUGGAGAUCAAGUAGGAACACUCGUGGCGAAAGCGAGCUACUGGACAAUAUCUGACGCUGAGGCUCGAAGGCCAGGGUAGGCGAAAGG